UACGAGGGGGGCAGGCGUUGUUCGGAAUUAUUGGGCGUAAAGGGUGCGUAGGUGGUUCGGCAGGUCUUGUGUGAAAUCUUCAGGCUCAACUUGAAGUCUGCACGAGAAACUGCCGGGCUUGAGUAUGGGAGAGGUGAGUGGAAUUUCCGGUGUAGCAGUGAAAUGCGUAGAUAUCGGAAGGAACACCUGUGGCGAAAGCGGCUCACUGGACCAUUGCUGACACUGAGGCACGAAAGCUAGGGGGAGCAAACGGGAUUAGAUACCCUGGUAGUCCUAGCCCUAAACGAUGAUCGCUUGGUGUGGCGGGUAUCCAACCCUGCCGUGCCGAAGCUAACGCGUUAAGCGAUCCGCCUGGGGAGUACGGUUGCGAGGCUGAAACUC
rnacentral:rRNA from 1 species